rnacentral:rRNA from 1 species
UACGUAGGCAGCAAGCGUUGUUCGGAGUUACUGGGCGUAAAGGGUGUGUAGGCGGUUGGAUAAGUGUGGUGUGAAAUCUCCCGGCUUAACUGGGAGGGUGCGCUACAAACUGUCUGACUAGAGUAUGGGAUGGGAGAGUGGAAUUCCUGGUGUAGCGGUGAAAUGCGUAGAUAUCAGGAGGAACACCGGUGGUGUAGACGGCUCUCUGGACCAUAACUGACGCUGAGACACGAAAGCGUUGGUAGCAAACAG